GACGAACGCUGGCGGCGUGCUUAACACAUGCAAGUCGAACGGAAAGGCCUGCUUUCCCUUGUGGAUUGCGGGUACUCGAGUGGCGAACGGGUGAGUAACACGUGAGUGAUCUGCCCCCAACUUGGGUAUAAGCCUGGGAAACUGGGUCUAAUUCCCGAUAGGACUGCAGGGUGGUGCCUGUGGUGGAAAACGAUUUUCUAGUGGUUGGGGAUGAGCUCGCGGCCUAUCAGCUUGUUGGUGGGGUAAUGGCCUACGAAGGCGGCGACGGGUAGCCGGCCUGAGAGGGUGACAGGCCACAUGGGGAGGGGGAGGCGGGCGGGACUCAGGAGGGAGGGAGGAGGGGGGAAUGGGGCAGAAUGGGCGGAAGCCUGAGGCAGCAACGCCGCGUGCGGGAUGAGGGCCUUCGGGUGGGAAGGAGGUAGCGCCGGUGAAGAAGGGGGAGGGAGGGGAGUGGGUAAAGAAGAAACGGCUAACUACGUG
rnacentral:rRNA from 1 species